CCUACGGGUGGCAGCAGUGAGGAAUAUUGGUCAAUGGACGAGAGUCUGAACCAGCCAAGUAGCGUGAAGGAUGACUGCCCUAUGGGUUGUAAACUUCUUUUAUAAGGGAAUAAAAUGUUCCACGUGUGGGAUUUUGUAUGUACCAUAUGAAUAAGGAUCGGCUAACUCCGUGCCAGCAGCCGCGGUAAUACGGAGGAUCCGAGCGUUAUCCGGAUUUAUUGGGUUUAAAGGGAGCGUAGGUGGAUUGUUAAGUCAGUUGUGAAAGUUUGCGGCUCAACCGUAAAAUUGCAGUUGAAACUGGCAGUCUUGAGUACAGUAGAGGUGGGCGGAAUUCGUGGUGGAGCGGUGAAAUGCUUAGAUAUCACGAAGAACUCCGAUUGCGAAGGCAGUUCACUGGACUGCAACUGACACUGAGGCUCGAAAGUGUGGGUAUCAAACAGGAUUAGAUACCCUUGUAGUC
rnacentral:rRNA from 1 species